UAUGGUUCCCACAUUAUUGCAAGACAAACUCUUCUUCCUCCCAUUGAAUCAAGAGCAAAAACACCAUUGUUGUCUUGCAAAUAAUUAUGGAAAGCCAUAUACCAUUUUGAUCAUUGUCAUAUUAUUAUUGUUGUGGGUCAAUUCACAUAUUGUUUAAGCCUUGUGAAGUAUUCUUGUGAUGUCAUACAUCUUCAAGACAUUCUUGAAGGAAGGAUCAAAUGAGCAAUCUUCAUAAGGACUAAAGGACAAUCAUCAAAGGAGGUUCAACAAAUUCCACACAUGGAUUCAGGUUAGCUUCCGCUCAUGUA
rnacentral:lncRNA from 1 species